AAAUUGCUACAAUGAAAACAAUUGAUAUACCUCAGCUUUGAGGAAAAAAAAAUCAGGGUUCCAUCAAAAUAUAAGCAGUAAUAAUGUCAAUCCUACAAUAUCACCAUGCUUUUUGGUAGUUAAUUGCAUAUAUAGCAUUGCACACAUAUGCAGGCGAUUCAUUAAUAACCUCUAAAAACGUUUUUAAAACAUUUGACAUGCAAUUAAUUUGAUAUGUGGAAGAAGAUGCAUAAUUUUUAUCCCACUUCUAAAAAAAAAAAACUCAAAUAGAUGAUCUGGUUAUUAAACUGUGUAUGAACAGAAUUGUGCAGGGGAAAAAAUGUUUACAUUAAGUGUAUUUUUCUUUCUUUAUUUUGACAGCAGACCUGUUCAGAUGCUGGCUGUGACUCUUUCUGCUUCAAGUCUCCCUGAAAACCACAAGAAGAGCUCCCUGUGGAUUUGACAGGAAUCACAGAGACAACAGAGACCACAGAGACCCGGUCUGGCUCCCACAACAACACCACGAGUUACAGCAUACCGGCAGAUAAAUAAAAGAAUGAACCAGCACCAAAAGGAAUAUCAUUACUGAGAAAGAGAGAGAAAAAGAGAGAGAACAUGCAAAACAAGCAAAAAGCCCCAGUCGACAAGAACCUUCCUGCUCUAAUUUGCUGGCAGCAUCCAUACUCGCCUCUGCUCAAACUUUGGAUGGAAUCUAAGUGAUGAUCAUGUCACUGUUGUAAUCUUUGAGAGGAAAGUGUGAACUUUAAUCAAAUACAGAGUCUCUCUGCAGCAUCUGUCUGAACUCCUUGGGAAUACUGUACAACAUGCUCUGUUUUUUUUUUGUUUUUUUGUUUUUUUUUGUAUAGUCUUGAUGUGGCCAAAGCUCAGCUGUUUUUAGCCCCUUGUGGCUGCUGCUUGUAGCACAGCUUCAAAGGAAAACUGGAAGCCUACAGGGAUUUCCCUCUGGCUUUCCCACCAUCUGCACCGGCCUGCGUGGAAUUUGAUGCAAGCGGGUGCCUUGGAACCUCAAACAUCGUUCAUUAUGUGUGUGUAUAUAAAGGCUGCUGCUCGGGGUUUCAGUCAGCAAUGCCAAUGUUUCAACUUGUGUUUGCAAUGAUCAGGUAUAAUAUGAGCUGUGUCUCUUUGAGAACCAUCUACUUUAAUGUGUGUGUUUGUGUGUUAUGCAAGAAGUUGUGCAUAGCGGCAUCUUGGCUACCUGUAAUGUGUGUCUUUUCCUGGCCUUCAAGAGAUUGGUCUUGAAAGCUAUUUCAAGUCAGCAAAGAAUCUGACAUGCUGUGUUUUGUAGGAAAAGAUAUGUGGGCUGAAAAUUGGGUCAGAUAGAUGAGUCUGCUGUUAAUUUCCACCUGAUCUGACUAUGGGCCCAUCUGCAGACCAUGACAAGACGAAAGCCUUUCUUCUAAAGCCUUCAAAGUCCUUUAUUGCAUUUAACAUUUUUGUCACAUCAAGGUUUACUUCACUGAGUCUGUAUUCAAAGCAAAAAAGCAAGAAAAUAUGUUUUUUUUUCUGUUUAAGACAGUGUUUAUUUUCAAGCAGUCUAGAUCAGGUUGUUCAGAUCUCACGCAAUGGUGAUUGUGCUGCAGUUGAUUUUUGUUACAGCAGCAGAACUACAUGGCUGCUCUCUGACAUCAGCGCUAAAGAUAACCUCAGCCGAAAGUUUUCUCAUGCACAUUUUUUAUUCGUCAGUAUGCCAUGGAAAUUUGCUAUUUAUAUCAUUUGAAAAGAUGUUGUUUUUUCAGAGUGUAAUAAACAAGUUUUGCUCAA